GCGGAGGAAAAGAAACCAACAGGGAUUGCCUCAGUAACGGCGAGUGAAGCGGCAAAAGCUCAAAUUUGAAAUCUGGCGCAAGCCCGAGUUGUAAUUUGAAGAAGGUAAUUUUUGGGGAGACGUUUGUGCAAUUUCCUUGGAAUAGGGAAUCAUAGAGGGUGAGAAUCCCGUAGCGCGAACCUCUCUCUCCUUGUAAAAUGCUUUCGACGAGUCGAGUUGUUUGGGAAUGCAGCUCAAAUGGGUGGUAAAUUCCAUCUAAAGCUAAAUAUUGGCGAGAGACCGAUAGCGAACAAGUACAGUGAUGGAAAGAUGAAAAGAACUUUGAAAAGAGAGUGAAAAAGUACGUGAAAUUGUUGAAAGGGAAGGGUUUUAAGAGAGACUUGGAGAGUAAUGAACAAUUUUCCUUCGGGGAGGUGCACUCGUUGCUUUCUGGGCCAAUAUGGGUUUGUGGAGUGGGAUAAAAGGACAGGAAUGUGGCCAUUCGUGGUGUUAUAGCCUGUCCCAAUACCGCUACCGUGGACCAAGGAACGCGAUUCUAGGAUAUUGGCGUAAUCUCUUUAAACCACCCGUCU
rnacentral:rRNA from 1 species